GGAGGAACGGGGAUAAAUCGAAGGUUCGAAACUUGAAAACCGUUUGGGGGCAACCCCACGGGGGUUCGAAUCCCUCUUCCUCCG
rnacentral:tRNA from 1 species